rnacentral:lncRNA from 1 species
CUGGAUUGUCACUACAUACUGCUGGGUGUCACUAGUGGAUUGUGAGACUCAUGAGGAAUAUCUUGAUGAUCAAUGAUCUUUGGUGGGCUGAGUUGGAAUUGUUCUAAUCCAUUGAAAAGAGUUUCAAUGAUAUUGUGAUAGAGAUCACAAUAUAUCUCACUACUAAAUAGCAUAGAACCUAUGGGGUCACACACAAAGAGAUUUUUGACUGAUCAGAUGGUUGAAUUAUGAUUAUGAAUCUUAAUAGGAUUUGAUUAUCAAUUUGAUUAAUAAUUGAUCAAAUGCAAAUGUUGCAUUAUAUAUAACUUACUAAAGAGU